CAACGCUGGAGGAUGAAGUUUCUAAGCGCUUCCUGCUCAGGGUCUCUAAGAGCUAGAAGAGGUUAAGGUUUAAACUUGAACGCUACUGUCGAAUGCAAAAGGGUCUUGCGCUGUCGCCCAGGCUGGUCUUGAACUCCUGCUCUUAGGCGAUUCUUUGGCCUUGGCCUCCCAAAGUGCUGGGAUUAUAUAGAUGAGUGAGUAUGGGAACUUGCGCCAGCUCCUGUCCAGUCCAAACCAGUUGAGACCACCAACCCUUCAACUGGGCUUUUGACAUCAGAGUGCCAAAAACUCCACCAUCAGAUCAUGCUAACACUGCCAUUUUCUGUACAUGUGUCCAUGAAAUGCCAUGAACUCAAAUAUGCUUGCUUGGAACAAGCCUGUUACUUUAUUUUUCUUCACUGCCAAUCACUUUUCCCCACACCUUAGAUCACCCUCCUUCCCUAAUCCAUAAAUAUUCCUGAGCUUUAUCUUCUGGGAGGUGAAUUUGAUAGCUGUUCUCCUGCCUUUCUGAUGGGUUUCUCUUUGCAAAGCCUGUGUCACAGUGAUUGAUUUUCUGUGUGUAGCAGAACAAACCUGGACCUGGCUGAUAACACCCGCUGGGCUGCUAAAUAAGGUCCCCUCUCUAAUCCCCCUCUCUCGAGGAGUCCCCUUACCCCUCCACAGAAGUUCUCCACAGACUCACACCUGAGAGACUUCUCCAUACGCAAACUUCUUAAAGCAUCAUCCAAAUAAAGCUUG